CAGUUAUGCCGCCACCUCACUAUGGUAGACAUGGUGGAAAUCAAGGUUAUGGAGGUUCUUAUCGACACGGUAGAGACUAUCAUCGCAAGCGACACAGGGAAGAUGA